CCGCCCCUGUCUAGAGGCCGCGGGGACGGGUAGCCUCUGCCCGCGCGCCUCCCCAAGCGCCCGGUUUUCCCGAGCUUCUUCACGGUGAGAAAUUGGAGCCUAGGUCUUGAAGCCUGGACACCGCUUCAAAAUGGAGAAAGUGUCUCCUUUAGUCCACGUGGUGCACAUGGUGCCUCAUGCAGCGGAGGAAACUGAAGAUUACGGCUUCCGACUCCAUUUUCCUAGUCGCUGUGCUCACGCCUCUUGCACCUGGCUUUGUCCUCCCGCCCUGAGUCUCCUGAUUAACAGGAUGGGAAAUCGAGGCAAGAAGAGACAAGGCGGCUUCUAAAAUACGGGGAUUCAGUCCUACACCAAAUGUCUCCCAGUGUGGAAUUUUUUAAAAAGAUAUUGAUCCAGUAGGCCAGGGGGCUGAGGCUGGAG
rnacentral:lncRNA from 10 species